rnacentral:lncRNA from 1 species
CAGUCCACACAUGCUUUGCGAAGUAUAUGAAACGAAAUUGCAAUUGAAAUCCCGAUGCAGCUAUGUGUAGAUAUAUUUGCUGCUAUUGGUACACAUUCUUUACCUAUCCAAGGUCUUCUACUAUUUCAAUACCCAUCAUAUGUGAAAAUCUGUGGUGAGAAAAGAAACAUAUCUACAGUCUGAUGUAAGUUGUUCCUGAAAGUGAAACUUAACAAUAUCAGUGGUGAAAUGUUCACUCUUGCUUGAUUUAGUUUCUGGAUUCCCUUUCCUUGUACUUCUAAGAAAAUAAAUAAUUAAUAGCAUGGUUCUGCUCAUUGGAACAGGAGAGGCGAUCAACAAGACAGAAAAACACAAAUGGCCAAGUACACUUGAUUGAAGAUUGAUGAAUCUGGGAUCAGGUAAAAACUGAGACCAAAGGCACUGAAACUUGAGUAAUAGUUCCCGUAAGGUCACAGUACUACUUCCACAACCGGGAAUGACAAAUUUUAAAUAUGCACAUGCUUUGAACUUUGUCUAGAUGAAUUGAGAGCAUGUAGCAAUUAAAUGGAUUAUAGAUGAACUGGGAGCACGUUGUAAAUAGUACCCAUGAUUUUAUUUUAAGUUUUCACACAUUUAUCCGAGCAAUUACUCAUACAAGACAUAUGGUCUUUGAAAUGGCUUUGUUUUCAUCAAGUGUCCUUCCUGCUACUACAUAUAUGAUUGCUGGUACAUUUUUUUUAGAAAGGAGGCAUCUGCCCGGCCUUAGACUGAGGCCCUUCCAGGUUCACCGAAGUUCAUACAAGGUAAUAUAUGACUGCACCGAAGUUCAUACAAGGUAAUAUAUGACCGCUGGCACAUGCAUAUUUACAAGUGCAUAUCUGAUUGCUUGCUGAUUGAGGAACUUCAAAUGCAAUUUUCAUUGUAAGCCAUGUGGUAUGCUAUAUGUGUUAGCCUGACUUUGGUUGAUGUGGUGAUAAGGGUAUCUUUUGUAACCUGUUUGCAGCGCAUGUACUUUUAGAUCUUUGGGAUCAAGGGCCACUUGCAAAUUUUAAGAAACUCCCAUUUUCUAAGAUUGCUCAAAUAUACGAGUUCUUUUGCAGGGACAAAUGGCAAAAUGUAGCAAGGCACCAAGUUGAUGUACAAUGUUCUGGUGAUUGCUUUGUUCAUAACAUGGUUGACACAUUUUCUUCAUAUGGAAGUUAAUGUCGGCUUGGUGACUAAAGACUUGGGCUCUUCCAUAAUAUUUUGUACAUUAGUCAAGUGAUUGAACAAUUGGUCUCAUAGGAACAUGGCCAUCACAUUUUGUAACAGACCGCGGCUUGAAUGCCAGCUUAUGUAUGUCCUUAAUCCACUGUAGCUAACUUGAGUAAAGAAGACUAAUGAAUCGUUCUAUAUAUGUUGAAUGGUAUCUUGUGCAUUGAUCAAUGGUAUAUGGUGAUGAAUAGAAGAGUGUAAUUCUGAUGAAUAUGAAUGUAAUUAUUUGUAUAUGUGUUCGGCGUAUUAAUA